GAUGUCACCAAAGAAAAGAUGUAAUCUCUCCAGAAACAAAGCAAGGAAGAUCGUAGAAGACAGAAGGCAAAAGUCUCAAGAGAGAAAGGAGAUGAGACUUUCUCAAGAUCAGCAAAUAUUUUGUAAGGUAUGCACUUUUAUAUAUCAAAAACAGUUGGGAAUAAUUUAGGAGAAAGAAAAUAUUCAGAAUCAUGAAAAAAAAAGUGUAGGGGAAAAAAAUUAGUGUUAUUUUUAUUUAUGGUAAUGAAGGAAAAAUUAUAUAUAUAUAUAUAUAUAUACAUAUAUAUAUAUAUAUAUAUAUAAUUUUUCCUUCAUUACCAUAAAUAAAAAUAACACCAAUUUUUUAUAUAUAUAUAUAAUCUCUCUAUAUAUAAACAGCAAAAUGUCUGUGUGUGUGUCCUCUAUACAAAUCCACAAUUUUUCAGUUAUAGCCCAAGAUGCCACGCAGUGGGACUGAACCCGGAACCAUGUGGUUGGUUAGCAAGCUACUUACCACACAGCCACUCCUGCGCCUAUAUAUAUAUAUAUAUGUAAUUAAAGUCAAAAUAAGGGUGAAACAAUUGAAUAUUAAUUAAUAACAUCGAUUUAAACACCAAGUGGCCUAGUGUAUAAAAGACUGGGAUACAGUAAAUAUUAAUACAAAACAAUAAGAGAGAAUCCACUAUGUGGACGCUCUAACGCUAGAGUUAAUCUAUUUUUUCGUUAUUUUUCAUUUGUCCUGCUCGCUUACGUUCUUGGCGUGUUGAAUUAAUUCUUGAGAACAAUUCCUUGGUGGUGGAUUCCCUUUGCGGAUCUAUAUCUAGCGUUAGAGCGUCCACAUAGUGGAUUCUCUCUUAUUGUUUUGUAUGUAUAUAUAUAAACUCUGCCAGAUCAGACUGGAGCCUGGAGCAGCCCCUGGCUUCCCAGACCCCGGUCGAACCGUCCGACCCGUGCUAGCGCGGAAAACGGACGUUAAACGAUGAUGAUGAUGAUGAUAUAUAUUUAUUUAUAACAUAUAUAUAUAUAAUGUAUAUACAUAUAUAUGUGUGUGUGUAUGUAUGUAUAUAUAUAUAUAUAUAUCAAAAAUAUGGGUGUAGAAAAUCACAUCUUUAAUUGCUGAAUUUAGCAUACAAUGAUGAAUAGUGUUUACCCAGUAAGUCCCAACGUACUUAACUUCCUGACUGUUGCUUUCAAAUUUUCACAAAUAAUUGAAAGUAGGUUAAAAUGAAGAAAAAAAAAAUCAAUUAUUAAAACUCCUCUACUUUGAGUAGAAAUGGAAAUACCCGGUUUCCUCUGAACAGGACACUGCGACAAUGUGAUAUAGCUUAUUUAAGGUUUUCAUUUCGUGUCCUAUUUAUAGGACAGUGGGACUUAAUGGGUUAAGAUCAUUACUAAAUUGACCACCAGGGUCAUGCGAUGAAUUAAUUGAGUUGGACUUAUCAAUGAGAUUUUUCAUAUAUUCUUUUCUAGGUGGUAAAGGUAUGUCCUUUGACCUUUAGCAUGCCGUAGGUGCAUUAUGUCGCCAUAUGAGUUAUCUCCCCCUAUAGUUACAGGGCAGUGGCAUGGGAAACAAUUCUAGAGAAAAUGCUGUGUGCUAAAGGUUACUCUUUUAUUCUUUUGCUUGUUUCAGUCAUUUGACUGUGGCCAUGAUGGAGCACCACCUUUAGUUGAGCAAAGUGACCCCGGGACUUAUUCUUUGUAAGCCUAGCACUUAUUCUAUCGGUCUCUUUUGCCGAACCGCUAAGUUACGGGGACAUAAACACACCAGCAUCGGUUGCCAAGCAAUGUUGGGGGGACAAACAAACUUAUACACACACACACACACACACACACACACACAUAUAUAUAUAUGUAUAUAUAUACAUACAUAUAUACGUUGGGCUUCUUUUCAGUUUCCGUCUACCAAAUCGACUCACAAGGUUUUGGUCGACCUGAGGCUAUAGCAGAAGACACUUGCCCAAGACAUUUGUGGUUCGGCAGUGUUUCUACAGCUGGAUGCCCUUCCUAACACCAACCACACCGUCAGUGUAGUGGGUGCUUUUUACGUGCCACCGGCACAGAGGCCAGGCGAGACUGGCAACGGCCGUGAUCGGUUGAGGCCAGUCGAGGAGACAUUAAAUGAUAAUGAUGGUGAUGAUGAACACAAUGUGUCACCUGGUUCAGGAAUCAAACCCCAAAUCUUCCAAUCACAAGUCUGACACCCUAAGCACAAACCCACGUGUCCUCUACUGAGUGGGAUCAUUCGUUGGAUAUGAAAUCCAACCAUGUGUAACCCACAACAAUAAGAGUUAUCCUGGCAACUGAAGCGCUUCGGGUGGAUUUUAAGCUGUGAGAUGUGGACCAUUCACGCAUUUAACGACGAAUAUUGCAAGCAAUGUGUUACCUUGUCGUGUGUGUGAAUCGUAAGGGUUGGUUGGAGUAAAGCAAGCACCAAGAUUAAGCUCUUAUAUAACGAUUCAUCACUGUUACGUAACGAUCCAUAACUAUUAUAUAACGAUUCAUAACUUAUAUAACGAUCCGUAAUUGUUAUAUAACGAUUUGUAACUGUUACAUAACGAUUCGUAAUUGUUAUAUAGCGAAUCAUAACCGUUAUAUAUAUAUAUAUAUAUGUAUGUAUAUAGGUGUGUGAAUGGGUUUGUGUUGGGGGUGUGGGGUGAGCGUGUAUUGAAUAGAAAACAUGAAAAGCAAUUUAAUAAAUGCAAAAUAUCAUGAUGUUACAUAAAUUGAAAAACCUGUGGCGCAACUUAGGGUCACCAUCAUCGCACAAUUGUAACAAGAAACAUACAAAGAGACACACACAUAUGUAUAUAUAUGUAUGCACACAUACACCAUCUAUUUAUACAUUCUCUACAAUUUCCCCAUUAUACACACACGCACACACAUAUAUAUACUCUUUUACCCUUUUACUUGUUUCAGUCAUUUGACUGUGGCCAUGCUGGAGCACAGCCUUUAGUCGAACAAAUCGACCCCCAGGACUUAUUCUUUGUAGGCCUAGUACUUAUUCUAUCGAUCUCUUUUGCCGAACCACUAAGUUACGGGGACGUAAACACACCAGCAUCGGUGCCAGUACCUCCCCACUGACUCCUGUGCCAGUGGCACAUAAAAAGCACCCACUACACUCUCGAAGUGGUUGGCAUUAGGAAGGGCAUCCAGCUGUAGAAUGCAAGACAUCUGUGUUUGGAGUAAAAGAACUCCAUUUGAUUUUUUUUUAAAUGCGAAGAAGGCAUUUUUGGCGGAAUUGUUCUAACAAUUUAAAAUGCUUUUCAUAGCAAUUCCAUUUUUUUCACAAGAAUACAACAGGAAUGGUAAGACGGAUGAUCUGUAAAGAGCCAGCCCUGUAUUCUUAUUUAUAUGUGGCGAACGGCCACGCUCGGAUGGUGUUUUUUUAUGUGCCACCGUCUGGCACCUGUGUCGGUGGCACAUAAAAAACACCAUCCGAGCGUGGCCGUUCGCCAGCCUCGUCUGGCACCUGUGUCGGUGGCACAUAAAAUCACCCACUACACUCUCGGAGUGGUUGGCGUUAGGAAGGGCAUCCAGCUGUAGAAACACUGCCAGAUCUGACUGGCCUGGUGCAGCCUUCGGGCUUCCCAGACCCCAGUUGAACCGUCCAACCCAUGCUAGCAUGGAGAACGGACGUUAAACGAUGAUGAUGAUGAUGAUGAGGUCGCUGGCACCAAACACGUGACUCCAGGCCACCAAAUGCUUUUGUUGUCCUUUGGAUUCACAGCUGUAUUUCUGUAUCAAGAUUUCCAUCAUUUUGGACAGAGCCUCCAAGUUAGACGAACGAAUCAACAGCCGCGAGUAACUUUCCCUUGACAAAAAUUUUAGUGGGUUACAAACAGCACCACACACAGGGUGAUGCAUAACAACUGUUUUUUUCAAGUCGAUGGUCAAGCCAAAAUCAUCACAAGCCGAAGCGAAUGCAAAUACAAGAGAUUGCAGACCUGUUUCAGAAUGACUGACAAGAUCUCAAUCAUCAGUAUACAAAAGUUCCCUAAUGAGUGAAGUAAAAACCUUCAUUUUGAAUUUCAGUCUGGUCAUCAUCAUCAUCGUUUAGCGUCCACUUUCCAUGCUAGCAUGGGUUGGACGGUUCGACUGGGGUCUGGGAAGCCAGAAGGCUGCACCAGGCUCCAAUCUGAUCUGGCAGUGUUUCUACAGCUGGAUGCCCUUCCUAACGCCAGCCACGAGUGUAGUCGGUGCUUUUUACGUGCUACCCGCACAGGUGCCAGACGGAGCUGGCAAACGGCCACGGACGAACGGAUGGUGCUUUUUAUGUGCCACCGGCACGGGGGCCAGGCGAGGCUGGCAACGGCAGAUGAAGAAUAUUCACUGUUGUUUGAUAUUUUAUGUAAAUACCCUCCUCAGAGUUUUGAAAAGCAUCUUACAACACAACAGCAAAGUAUAUUGCAAAGAGGGUGGCUGCAUCAAGGUCUCCUUGCUUCACUCCAUUUUCCACAGCAAAAGAUUCAGAGAGCCUACAACCAAAAUUAACUCUAGCUUGAUGCAAAGCCCUGAUCAUGUUUAGAAAUUUUUGUGGGCAACCUAUUUUCCUGAGAAUUAGCCACAGAGCAUUUCGAUUAGCAGAAUCAAAUGCUUUGCUCAAAUCAACAAAGCAAUCGUAUUUACUCUUUUACUUGUUUCAGUCAUUUGACUGCGGCCAUGCUGGAGCACCACCUUUAGUCGAGCAAAUCGACCCCGGGACUUAUUCUUUGUAAGCGCAGUACUUAUUCUAUCGGUCUCUUUUGCCGAACCGCUAAGUGAUGGGGACGUAAACACACCAGCAUUGGUUGUCAAGCAAUGCUAGGGUGACAAACACACACACACACAUACAUAUAUAUAUGUAAAAAGCACCCACUACACUCACGGAGUGGUUGGCGUUAGGAAGGGCAUCCAGCAGUAGAAACACUGCCAGAUCUGACUGGGCCUGAUGAAGCCUUCCAGCUUCACAGACCCCAGUUGAACCGUCCAACCCAUGCUAGCAUGGAAAACGGACGCUAAAUGAUGAUGAUUAUAUAUAUAUA
rnacentral:lncRNA from 1 species